CCUACGGGAGGCUGCAGUGAGGAAUAUUGGUCAAUGGACGAGAGUCUGAACCAGCCAAGUAGCGUGAAGGAUGACUGCCCUAUGGGUUGUAAACUUCUUUUAUAUGGGAAUAAAAUGUUCCACGUGUGGGAUUUUGUAUGUACCAUAUGAAUAAGGAUCGGCUAACUCCGUGCCAGCAGCCGCGGUAAUACGGAGGAUCCGAGCGUUAUCCGGAUUUAUUGGGUUUAAAGGGAGCGUAGGUGGAUUGUUAAGUCAGUUGUGAAAGUUUGCGGCUCAACCGUAAAAUUGCAGUUGAAACUGGCAGUCUUGAGUACAGUAGAGGUGGGCGGAAUUCGUGGUGGAGCGGUGAAAUGCUUAGAUAUCACGAAGAACUCCGAUUGCGAAGGCAGUUCACUGGACUGCAACUGACACUGAGGCUCGAAAGUGUGGGUAUCAAACAGGAUUAGAUACCCUUGUAGUC
rnacentral:rRNA from 1 species